GAUGAACGCUGGCGGCGUGCCUAAUACAUGCAAGUCGAGCGAACGGACGAGAAGCUUGCUUCUCUGAUGUUAGCGGCGGACGGGUGAGUAACACGUAGAUAACCUACCUAUAAGACUGGGAUAACUUCGGGAAACCGGAGCUAAUACCGGAUAAUAUUUUGAACCGCAUGGUUCAAAAGUGAAAGACGGUUUUGCUUUCACUUAUAGAUGGAUCCGCGCGGCAUUAGCUAGUUGGUAAGGUAACGGCUUACCAAGGCAACGAUGCAUAGCCGACCUGAGAGGGUGAUCGGCCACACUGGAACUGAGACACGGUCCAGACUCCUACGGGAGGCAGCAGUAGGGAAUCUUCCGCAAUGGGCGAAAGCCUGACGGAGCAACGCCGCGUGAGUGAUGAAGGUCUUCGGAUCGUAAAACUCUGUUAUUAGGGAAGAACAUAUGUGUAAGUAACUGUGCACAUCUUGACGGUACCUAAUCAGAAAGCCACGGCUAACUACGUG
rnacentral:rRNA from 1 species